UACGUAGGGGGCUAGCGUUAUCCGGAAUUACUGGGCGUAAAGGGUGCGUAGGUGGUUUCUUAAGUCAGAGGUGAAAGGCUACGGCUCAACCGUAGUAAGCCUUUGAAACUGGGGAACUUGAGUGCAGGAGAGGAGAGUGGAAUUCCUAGUGUAGCGGUGAAAUGCGUAGAUAUUAGGAGGAACACCAGUUGCGAAGGCGGCUCUCUGGACUGUAACUGACACUGAGGCACGAAAGCGUGGGGAGCAAA
rnacentral:rRNA from 1 species